rnacentral:rRNA from 1 species
CCUACGGGAGGCAGCAGUGGGGAAUAUUGGGCAAUGGGCGCAAGCCUGACCCAGCAACGCCGCGUGAAGGAAGAAGGCUUUCGGUAUGUAAACCUCUUUUGUCAGGGACGAAACAAGUGACGGUACCUGACGAAUAAGCCACGGCUAACUACGUGCCAGCAGCCGCGGUAAUACGUAGGUGGCAAGCGUUAUCCGGAUUUAUUGGGUGUAAAGGGCGUGUAGGCGGGAAUGCAAGUCAGAUGUGAAAACUAUGGGCUCAACCCAUGGCCUGCAUUUGAAACUGUAUUUCUUGAGUGCUGGAGAGGCAAUCGGAAUUCCGUGUGUAGCGGUGAAAUGCGUAGAUAUACGGAGGAACACCAGUGGCGAAGGCGGAUUGCUGGACAGUAACUGACGCUGAGGCGCGAAAGCGUGGGGAGCAAACAGGAUUAGAUACCCUUGUAGUC